rfam:Camelus ferus unplaced genomic scaffold scaffold2305, whole genome shotgun sequence.
GAGGGUAUAGCUCAGUGGUAGAGCACAUGUUUAGCAUGUAUGAGGCUCUGGGUUCAAUUCUCAGUACCUCUA